AGAGUUUGAUCCUGGCUCAGAUUGAACGCUGGCGGCAUGCUUUACACAUGCAAGUCGACGGGAGUGGGGCAACCCACUUCAGUGGCGAACGGGUGAGUAACAUAUCGGAACGUAUCCUCGAGUGGGGGAUAACUCCGAGAAAUCGGAGCUAAUACCGCAUGAGAUCUCAGGAUGAAAGCGGGGGACCGAAAGCCUCGCGCUGGAGGAGCGGCCGAUAUCUGAUUAGCUAGUUGGUGGGGUAACGGCCUACCAAGGCUACGAUCAGUAGCUGGUCUGAGAGGAUGAUCAGCCACACUGGGACUGAGACACGGCCCAGACUCCUACGGGAGGCAGCAGUGGGGAAUUUUGGACAAUGGGCGCAAGCCUGAUCCAGCCAUGCCGCGUGAGUGAAGAAGGCCUUCGGGUUGUAAAGCUCUUUCGGACGGAAAGAAAUCGCCUGGGCUAAUACCCUGGGUGGAUGACGGUACCGUAAGAAGAAGCACCGGCUAACUACGUGCCAGCAGCCGCGGUAAUACGUAGGGUGCGAGCGUUAAUCGGAAUUACUGGGCGUAAAGCGUGCGCAGGCGGUGAUUUAAGUCAGAUGUGAAAGCCCCGGGCUUAACCUGGGAACUGCGUUUGAAACUGGAUCGCUAGAGUUUAGCAGAGGGGGGUAGAAUUCCACGUGUAGCGUGAAAUGCGUAGAUAUGUGGAGGAACACCGAUGGCGAAGGCAGCCCCCUGGGCUAGAACUGACGCUCAUGCACGAAAGCGUGGGGAGCAAACAGGAUUAGAUACCCUAGUAGUCC
rnacentral:rRNA from 1 species